UGACCUCGGAUCAGGUAGGGAUACCCGCUGAACUUAAGCAUAUCAAUAAGCGGAGGAAAAGAAACCAACAGGGAUUGCCCUAGUAACGGCGAGUGAAGCGGCAACAGCUCAAAUUUGAAAUCUGGCGCAAGCCCGAGUUGUAAUUUGUAGAGGAUGCUUCUGGGCAGCGGCCGGUCUAAGUUCCUUGGAACAGGACGUCACAGAGGGUGAGAAUCCCGUAUGCGACCGGUUGGCACCCGUCACGUAGCUCCUUCGAC
rnacentral:rRNA from 1 species